UACGUAGGGGGGCAAGCGUUUGUCCGGAAUCAUUGGGCGUAAAGAGCGCGUAGGCGGCCCAGUAAGUCCGCUCUGAAAGUCAGGGGCUCAACCCCUGGAUGCGGGUGGAUACUGCUGGGCUAGAGUCCGGAAGAGGCGAGUGGAAUUCCUGGUGUAGCGGUGAAAUGCGCAGAUAUCAGGAGGAACACCGAUGGCGAAGGCAGCUCACUGGCCCGGUACUGACGCUGAGGUGCGAAAGCGUGGGGGAGCAAACAGG
rnacentral:rRNA from 1 species